rnacentral:rRNA from 1 species
AUUGAACGCUGGCGGCAGGCCUAACACAUGCAAGUCGAACGAGUGGCGGACGGGUGAGUAAUGUCUGGGAAACUGCCUGAUGGAGGGGGAUAACUACUGGAAACGGUAGCUAAUACCGCAUACCAUCAGAUGUGCACCGCUGGGAUUAGCUUGUUGGUGGGGUAACGCCUCACAAAGGCGACGAACACUAGCUGGUCUGAGAGGAUUGCCAGCCACCCUGGAACGAGGACACGGCCCAGACUCCUACGGGGGGACGCGGUGGGAAAUAUUGCACAAUGGGCGAAAGCCUGAUGCAGCCAUGCCGGUGGUAUGAGGAAGGCCUUGGGGUUGUAAAGUACUUUCAGCGGGGAGGCGUUACCCGCCGAGGAAGCGCCGGCUAACUCCGUGCCAGCAGCCGCGGUAAUUC